rnacentral:rRNA from 1 species
GAUGAACGCUAGCGGCAGGCCUAACACAUGCAAGUCGAGGGGUAGAGGAAGCUUGCUUCCUUGAGACCGGCGCACGGGUGCGUAACGCGUAUGCAAUCUACCUUGUACAGAGGGAUAGCCCAGAGAAAUUUGGAUUAAUACCUUAUAGUAUUAUUGAAUGGCAUCAUUUAAUAAUUAAAGUUCCAACGGUACAAGAUGAGCAUGCGUCCUAUUAGCUAGUUGGUGUGGUAACGGCAUACCAAGGCUACGAUAGGUAGGGGUCCUGAGAGGGAGAUCCCCCGCACUGGAACUGAGACACGGACCAGACUCCUACGGGAGGCAGCAGUGAGGAAUAUUGGACAAUGGGCGCAAGCCUGAUCCAGCCAUGCCGCGUGCAGGAAGACGCAUCUAUGGUGCGUAAACUGCUUUUGUACGGGAAGAAACACUCCCUCGUGAGGGAGCUUGACGGUACCGUAAGAAUAAGGAUCGGCUAACUCCGUGCCAGCCGCCGCCGUAACAC